UAAUUUCAAAAAUCAUAAACUAUAAUUUUUUAGUUUUAAAGUACUAAACUUUUCCGAAAUUCUGGUUCUGUCUCUGUUAGUCUGUUACUAGAAAAAUCAUACCAGUUAAUCUACUAUGAAGAAUUUGUUCAAACUUGUGGGGCUUUCUAGCUAACUUUCGUAUAUACAACUUUUCUUUUGACACCCUGUCCAAAUUCUCAACAUAUGACUCUUCCCAAGUCUCACAAAAAUUGUGCCAAAGUUUGCCCGGUUCUAGUUUCUAAAUUUACCUUGGCUCACAAUUUUUUUUUAUUACGACUGAUCUACAAGGAGUUUCGAGGUGAUUUUGGUGUUAAGGCGUAGCUAGUAUCCAUAUCUACAACUUUUCUUUUUAUGCCAUGCUUAAAUUUCAAACACACUAACCUAUAUAAUUCUUACACAAACUUUGUCAGAAUUUGAUUUUCCAAAUUCUGACAGUGUGAUUUUUCUCUGAACCUGAUUUGAAAAUUCAUCCAAAAUAAUCUACUAGGAAUUUUUGGAUCAUUCUUGUCUCUGAAUGUAGAUAACUUUCAGAGCUAUUUUUAGACACAAAGAUCAUCUCCUAACUCAUAUAUCAAGAGAUGUAACUUUUACAAAAAAUAGGGCAACUUAGUCACUUUUCUGGAAAAUUUUCUAAAUCUUGUUUUUCAAUCUUUUAUUUGAUUUCUUGAUUUCUCUUGUUUGAUUUUUGUUUAUACAAGUUUAAUUUAUCCAACGGUGGAUCCAAAAAAUUGAUUUAGUGGGGUAAAAUUUAAAAAAAAAUAUCUACAAAAAAUUAAAAUAAAUUAUGAAAGUAGAUAAUGCUGAAAUAUUGUUUACAACAACAUUUUUCGAGUAUUCAUUGCUUGAAUUUAUAAUAAUAUAACAUCAUUUUCAAUAAUUACUAAAAUAUCAUGACCAAUUUAAGUUAUUAAACAAUGAAAAAGAAUGGAGUAUGGUGUGGGUAGAAGUUUAAGAUUUAAGAUUUUUGAUACAUUUUUAUUCUAAAUUUUCAUAUUUUAACUUAGAAACUGAUAAAUUCACAACAAAAAAUGAUAUUUCUACAACAAAAUGAUCGCUAUAGAUCCUAUAACGACGGUUUUCACCGUCGUUAUACAUCUAUAGCGAUACUUUUAUUGUGAAAAUAUUAAAAAUUAUUGUGGAAAUAUCAGUUUCUUUUAACUUAACAUCCUUUAAAAAAUUGACCCUUGAAAAUUCAGUGGGGUCAAUUGACCCCAUGCCCCUAUGAUGGAGCUGCCCAUGAAGGGUUGAGGGGGGGUACGGUACCUUAUUGACCGGUAAUGACCGGUG
rnacentral:lncRNA from 1 species